rnacentral:rRNA from 1 species
UACGUAGGGCGCAAGCGUUGUCCGGAAUUAUUGGGCGUAAAGAGCUCGUAGGCGGUGUGUGCGUCGGCCGUGAAAACCUGCAGCUUAACUGUGGGCUUGCGGUCGAUACGGGCAUCACUGGAGUUCGGCAGGGGAGACUGGAAUUCCUGGUGUAGCGGUGAAAUGCGCAGAUAUCAGGAGGAACACCGGUGGCGAAGGCGGGUCUCUGGGCCGAUACUGACGUGAGGAGCGAAAGCGUGGGGAGCGAACAGG